GCUGAUAUAGCUCAAACGGCAGAGCAACGGUUUCGUAAACCGUCGAUGAAGGUUCGAGUCCUUCUGUCAGCCCCA
rnacentral:tRNA from 2 species